rnacentral:rRNA from 1 species
UACGUAGGGGGCUAGCGUUGUCCGGAAUCAUUGGGCGUAAAGAGCGCGUAGGCGGCCAGAUAAGUCCGGUGUGAAAGUCACAGGCUCAACCUGUGAAUGCCGCUGGAAACUGUCUGGCUAGAGUCCGGAAGGGGCGAGUGGAAUUCCUGGUGUAGCGGUGAAAUGCGCAGAUAUCGGAAGGAACACCAGUGGCGAAAGCGGCUUCCUGGUCCAGCACCGACGUUCAGGCACGAAAGCGUGGGGAGCAAACAGG